GGAGCCUUCAUUCUCCCGGGGACACCCGGUCCGAAGUUUGGGGACCGCGAGGGGGGGAAGCAGAAGAAAGAUGGGGGUGAAAAAAAAAAGCCUCAAGCACUGCUGAUCCCAAGAUAAUCGGAGCUGGAGAGCGGGCGGCGAUCGCUGACCUCGGAGCCCCCCCUGGCUCUUACGUAAACACGCAUCAUUCAGUGCUGGAGCAUCCCAUUGAGAUCCCCCCACCCCCAAGAAAGAGCCGAGCUGCUGCACUGGGGGUAACAAGACGUGGGUUUAUUUCUCAUCCAUGCAAAUGAACAGCCCAGCAGUGGGCAAAUCAGGGAUGGGCAGAGGUCAGAAGCAUGCUCUGUCCUUCCCAAGCCUGCCCUCUGUCACUUGAAGCCCCC
rnacentral:lncRNA from 1 species